AUCUGCAGCCCUGGGAGCCACCAAGGUGCACUCAGUGGCCUUCUAGGCUUCGGUUCCUGCUCCGCGCCCCGCAGAAACCGCGGCUGGCUGGCCAGGGGCUCUUCCAACUUCCAGCGGGAGCAGGUGCACAGCAAAACAAAGAAUAAAGAUUAUGAAGAAAGAGAAGAACUUCCCAGGCCCAAGCAGCUGUCGGCUCCUGCGCUCCCAACGGGGUGGCCGUUUCCUUCCUCGCACCCUCUUCUCUCCCGGUGCCUGCGGUCCCACCUUCCAGAUACCCCUCGGAGAGUCCAGCUGAGCUCUCGCCAGAGCUUUCCCCUUCCAACCCGCUCGACUUGCCCAGAUCCCAAGCUGGGCUUCUCUCUCCAUCGCCCCAGAAAGUGGGUCUUGGAGACCGAGGCAAGAAUUUGGGCCUCCGCUUCUGUUCCAGACCCCGGACCCCUUGCCAAAAUGCGGCAGAUGUGCAGAUUGGGCCGCGCUUGGUUCCUGGCUGGGUUUAUGGAGCCUGCGGCUGAGGCAGGCUCCGCAGACCCCGAGCCAGAGUGGGAUUUAACGGCGGCCGGUGCGCUGUGCUUGGUCAACCCCGGUAACCGUCACGCUGCUAGUGAUAUGAAAAAAACCUGCCAGCGUUCUGCUUUUCUGCCCCGCUGCAGUCUUUAGCACCCGCCAGGAUUCUGUCCGAGUGUUUGGAUUUUGUAAUCCUCCUGUCUUUGGCCAACUCCCCAUCCUUGGCGGAGCGCUCGCCCUUGGCCGGGCUCCGUGCUGCCAGCCUUGCGGAACCCUAGGCCCGGGCGGCUCUGUCGGAGGCCCACUUCUCACUGAUGCGGAGUGGCCCGAGGGUGGGAGCAGCGGUUAAUGCCGCACUGAUUAAUACAGGCUCCAGUGAAAGCGAAAGUAAGAAAAUAAAACGGAUUUCAUUAUACAUAUACAAUGUGUGUAUGGAUACAUGUACAUACAUAUUACACUUAUGUGUAUGUUACGCACGUUUGUUAAAAUGAGGUCAUAAUGUUCAUGCUGUUUCAUAACCCACUUUCUUUCAAUGACCACCUUUUCAUUUCAGUAAAUCUUCGUAUUCUCA